CUAACGGCUGAACUGGCAACUUGGAGAAGUGGCAAGUCCUAUUUUGAUCAUAUCUUUGAAUAUGAUCUAUAGGAUUGUAUUAAAAUUGAAUAAAGCUUUGUUUAUAUAUUGAUAAUGACAGKAUAUAUAUCGUGUCUUGACUAAUUGCGUGCCAGCAGUCGCGGUAAUACGUAAGAGACUAGUGUUAUUCAUCUUAAUUAGGUUUAAAGGGUACCUAGACGGUCAAUAUAGCUUCUAUAAUGUUAGUACUUGACUAGAGUUUUAUGUAAGAGGGCAGUACUUGAGGAGGAGAGAUGAAAUUCUAUGAUACCAAAGGGACUCGGUAAAGGCGAAGGCAGCCCUCUAUGUAGAAACUGACGUUAAAGGACGAAGGCACAGAGCACAAACAGGAUUAGAUACCCAAGUAGUCUUUGCAGUAAAUGAUGAAUGCCAUAGGUUAGAUUAAGAUUUAAUAUUAUAAUUACAAAUUAUAAAUUAAACAUUAUUUGGUCUAUAAAUGAAAGUGUAAGCAUUUCACCUCAAGAGUAAUGUGG
rnacentral:rRNA from 1 species